GACGAACGCUGGCGGCGUGCUUAACACAUGCAAGUCGAACGGAAAGGCCCUGCUUUUGUGGGGUGCUCGAGUGGCGAACGGGUGAGUAACACGUGAGUAACCUGCCCUUGACUUUGGGAUAACUUCAGGAAACUGGGGCUAAUACCGGAUAGGAGCUCCUGCUGCAUGGUGGGGGUUGGAAAGUUUCGGCGGUUGGGGAUGGACUCGCGGCUUAUCAGCUUGUUGGUGGGGUAGUGGCUUACCAAGGCUUUGACGGGUAGCCGGCCUGAGAGGGUGACCGGGCACAUGGGGACUGAGAUACGGACCAGACUCCUGCGGGAGGCAGCAGGGGGGAAUAUUGCACAAUGGGCGGAAGCCUGAUGCAGCAACGCCGCGUGCGGGAUGACGGCCUUCGGGUUGUAAACCGCUUUCGCCUGUGACGAAGCGUGAGUGACGGUAAUGGGUAAAGAAGCACCGGCUAACUACGUG
rnacentral:rRNA from 1 species